CUUCACCGAGGGACGAAAUGGCAAUAUUGAGUAAAUUAGAAAAGCACGUAGCUGAAACUGAAAAAGAUGAAAAAUUGAAGGAGGUGGUGACGGUGUUUGAUGGAGCAAACGGUAUGGUGUCAUUUACCGGUGCUGCUAAGGGCAAAUUCAAAAGAAUCCAUUGAAUGCAUUCUUCAAACCCUUUGGAGAACCCGAAAAACUGGUCUUACCACUUCUGACCGAUGCAUCAUCCACGAAAUGCUCCACCUCCAAAACGAAUCCGAUCUCGAUCCACUUCUGGUUUGCCUCCGAAUGUUAAUCAGGAGGUGUGUUUAUGAGAACACCAGCAAGGAGGAUAUUCCGAAGUUGUUUCCCACGGAAGUUCUGCCUGAAUUGCAGAAACUUUUGACACUUUUGUUGCACAAGUUUCAGCCAGAGUGGCAACAAGAUGUGCUCAAAGAUCAGAAUAUUGUGCCUCGGUUGAAGGCAAUGACAUGGAAUAUGGCAAAUGUGGAUAAAGAAUCAGCAGACCCUGCAGCUGUAAUUAAUUUGAAGCUUCAAAAUGAUGCUCAAUUUCACUCAGGAGAGCAAGAUGUGAAGUUCCAGUUGGCUACUGAUUCUCUAGAUAAUAUGCUGAAAGCCAUGCACUGUAUUAGAGACCAGUUUUCUACCAUGGAUGAGGCACUGAAUGGUCACUAGUACCAGCAGUGGCGGAUCCAGGACUCAGAGUCAGUGGAGGCAUUAAAUCACAAGUUUCUAUUUGGAGUAAUUGAGUCACUCUGAAAUCUUCUUUCUGUGAUUGAAUUAGCUCCGGCUUGGAGCUCAACUGAAAACUUAUGAGAACAUAGAUGACACAUGAAAGACCCAAGCAGGGGGAAUCAAAACUGGGUCAAGUUUUGGUGGGGAGUUGUGGUAUCAUUCGGACCAAAGCCUCAACUGACCAGAUGACUUAUGUAGUUCGGUAUUAUUUAUAUGGAGAAACAGAAAAAAAAAAAAAUUGAUAAUAGUCACGCUUUUUGCAUCAAAAAA